rnacentral:rRNA from 1 species
CCCUUAGUGUUCGGGAUUUAGGUCGUUGGGUUUAAGGGUCGGGGUUAAAAAACGACCGUACCCAAAGGGCGACCGAUCCGUAGCGUGGUUUGAGAGGAUGAUCAGCCACACUGGGACUGAGACACGGCCCAG